rnacentral:rRNA from 1 species
GGACCCGCACAAGCGGUGGAGCAUGUGGUUUAAUUCGAUGAUACGCGAGGAACCUUACCAGGGCUUAAAUGUAGUGGGACAGGUCUAGAGAUAGACCCUUCUUCGGACUCAUUACAAGGUGCUGCAUGGUUGUCGUCAGCUCGUGCCGUGAGGUGUCAGGUUAAGUCCUAUAACGAGCGCAACCCCUAUCGUUAGUUGCCAGCGGGUAAUGCCGGGAACUCUAGCGAAACUGCCGGUGCAAACCGUGAGGAAGGUGGGGAUGACGUCAAAUCAUCACGGCCCUUACGUCCUGGGCCUACACACGUGCUACAAUGGUCGGUACAGAGAGCAGCCACUACGCGAGUAGGAGCGAA